AGAGUUUGAUCCUGGCUCAGGAUGAACGCUAGCUACAGGCUUAACACAUGCAAGUCGAGGGGCAGCAUGACGAUAGCUUGCUAUUGUUGAUGGCGACCGGCGCACGGGUGAGUAACGCGUAUCCAACCUGCCCUUGUCCAUCGGAUAACCCGUCGAAAGGCGGCCUAACACGAUAUGCAGUUCUCAGCAGGCAUCUAACGAGAACGAAAUGUGAAGGAGAAGGAUGGGGAUGCGUCUGAUUAGCUUGUUGGCGGGGUAACGGCCCACCAAGGCGACGAUCAGUAGGGGUUCUGAGAGGAAGGUCCCCCACAUUGGAACUGAGACACGGUCCAAACUCCUACGGGAGGCAGCAGUGAGGAAUAUUGGUCAAUGGGCGAGAGCCUGAACCAGCCAAGUAGCGUGCAGGAUGACGGCCCUAUGGGUUGUAAACUGCUUUUAUGCGGGGAUAAAGUGAGCCACGUGUGGCUUAUUGCAGGUACCGCAUGAAUAAGGACCGGCUAAUUCCGUGCCAGCAGCCGCGGUAAUACGGAAGGUCCGGGCGUUAUCCGGAUUUAUUGGGUUUAAAGGGAGCGUAGGCCGUCUGGUAAGCGUGUUGUGAAAUGUCGGGGCUCAACCUGGGCAUUGCAGCGCGAACUGUCAGACUUGAGUGCGCGGGAAGUAGGCGGAAUUCGUCGUGUAGCGGUGAAAUGCUUAGAUAUGACGAAGAACUCCGAUUGCGAAGGCAGCCUGCUGUAGCGCAACUGACGCUGAAGCUCGAAAGCGUGGGUAUCGAACAGGAUUAGAUACCCUGGUAGUCCACGCGGUAAACGAUGGAUGCUCGCUGUUUGCGUCUGACGUAAGCGGCCAAGCGAAAGCGUUAAGCAUCCCACCUGGGGAGUACGCCGGCAACGGUGAAACUCAAAGGAAUUGACGGGGGCCCG
rnacentral:rRNA from 1 species